rnacentral:rRNA from 1 species
GAUGAACCGUGCGAACGUUAUUCGGAAUCACUGGGCUUAAAGGGCGCGUAGGCGGAUUUGCAAGUCUGUGGUGAAAUCCUCCAGCUUAACUGGAGAAGUGCCAUGGAUACUGCGAGUCUCGAGGAAGGUAGGGGCAUCUGGAACUGCCGGUGGAGCGGUGAAAUGCGUUGAUAUCGGCAGGAACUCCGGUGGCGAAGGCGAGAUGCUGGAUCUUUUCUGACGCUGAGGCGCGAAAGCCAGGGGAGCAAACGGG